rnacentral:rRNA from 1 species
UACGUAGGGCGCAAGCGUUAUCCGGAAUUAUUGGGCGUAAAGAGCUCGUAGGCGGUCUGUCGCGUCUGCUGUGAAAACUCAGGGCUUAACCCUGAGCUUGCAGUGGGUACGGGCAGACUAGAGUGCGGUAGGGGAGACUGGAAUUCCUGGUGUAGCGGUGAAAUGCGCAGAUAUCAGGAGGAACACCGGUGGCGAAGGCGGGUCUCUGGGCCGUAACUGACGCUGGAGGAAGCGGAAAGCAUGGGGAGCGAACAGG